rnacentral:rRNA from 1 species
UACGAAGGGGGCUAGCGUUGCUCGGAAUUACUGGGCGUAAAGGGCGCGUAGGCGGACAUUUAAGUUAGAGGUGAAAGCCCAGGGCUCAACCCUGGAAGUGCAUUCGAAACUGGCAGGCUUGAAUAUGGAAGAGGGUCGCGGAAUUCCCGGUGUAGAGGUGAAAUUCGUAGAUAUCGGGAGGAACACCAGUGGCGAAGGCGGCGACCUGGGCCAAUAUUGACGCUGAGGUGCGAAAGCGUGGGGAGCAAACAGG